AUACAUGCAAGUCGAACGAACUCUGGUAUUGAUUGGUGCUUGCAUCAUGAUUUACAUUUGAGUGAGUGGCGAACUGGUGAGUAACACGUGGGAAACCUGCCCAGAAGCGGGGGAUAACACCUGGAAACAGAUGCUAAUACCGCAUAACAACUUGGACCGCAUGGUCCGAGCUUGAAAGAUGGCUUCGGCUAUCACUUUUGGAUGGUCCCGCGGCGUAUUAGCUAGAUGGUGGGGUAACGGCUCACCAUGGCAAUGAUACGUAGCCGACCUGAGAGGGUAAUCGGCCACAUUGGGACUGAGACACGGCCCAAACUCCUACGGGAGGCAGCAGUAGGGAAUCUUCCACAAUGGACGAAAGUCUGAUGGAGCAACGCCGCGUGAGUGAAGAAGGGUUUCGGCUCGUAAAACUCUGUUGUUAAAGAAGAACAUAUCUGAGAGUAACUGUUCAGGUAUUGACGGUAUUUAACCAGAAAGCCACGGCUAACUACGUGCCAGCAGCCGCGGUAAUACGUAGGUGGCAAGCGUUGUCCGGAUUUAUUGGGCGUAAAGCGAGCGCAGGCGGUUUUUUAAGUCUGAUGUGAAAGCCUUCGGCUCAACCGAAGAAGUGCAUCGGAAACUGGGAAACUUGAGUGCAGAAGAGGACAGUGGAACUCCAUGUGUAGCGGUGAAAUGCGUAGAUAUAUGGAAGAACACCAGUGGCGAAGGCGGCUGUCUGGUCUGUAACUGACGCUGAGGCUCGAAAGUAUGGGUAGCAAACAGGAUUAGAUACCCUGGUAGUCCAUACCGUAAACGAUGAAUGCUAAGUGUUGGAGGGUUUCCGCCCUUCAGUGCUGCAGCUAACGCAUUAAGCAUUCCGCCUGGGGAGUACGGCCGCAAGGCUGAAACUCAAAGGAAUUGACGGGGGCCCGCACAAGCGGUGGAGCAUGUGGUUUAAUUCGAAGCUACGCGAAGAACCUUACCAGGUCUUGACAUACUAUGCAAAUCUAAGAGAUUAGACGUUCCCUUCGGGGACAUGGAUACAGGUGGUGCAUGGUUGUCGUCAGCUCGUGUCGUGAGAUGUUGGGUUAAGUCCCGCAACGAGCGCAACCCUUAUUAUCAGUUGCCAGCAUUAAGUUGGGCACUCUGGUGAGACUGCCGGUGACAAACCGGAGGAAGGUGGGGAUGACGUCAAAUCAUCAUGCCCCUUAUGACCUGGGCUACACACGUGCUACAAUGGAUGGUACAACGAGUUGCGAACUCGCGAGAGUAAGCUAAUCUCUUAAAGCCAUUCUCAGUUCGGAUUGUAGGCUGCAACUCGCCUACAUGAAGUCGGAAUCGCUAGUAAUCGCGGAUCAGCAUGCCGCGGUGAAUACGUUCCCGGGCCUUGUACACACCGCCCGUCACACCAUGAGAGUUUGUAACACCCAAAGUCGGUGGGGUAACCUUUUAGGAACCAGCCGCCUAAGGUGG
rnacentral:rRNA from 1 species